UAUAUAGAGUAUAAAUUUUAGGUCUAAGCACUAUGACUAAAAAGUUAAAACUUAAACUACAUGGCGGCUAUUAGAAAUUUUAGGGGAACUUGCCAAAUUAAUGAUAAUCCCCAAAAUAACACUACUUCUAUUUUACAGCUUGUAUAUCGCCGUCUUCAGACUUCAUUUUUGAUGAACCCAGAAAGUAAAAUUACAAUAAGACAGGUCUUGAUGCAGCCCAUAUAGAAGAUUUAGGUGAGUUACAAUAAAAACUAUACAUAUAAAUUUUCUUUGAAACUAAAGAAAUGAAAAUGGACUUAAAAGUAAAUGUUAUAAUAAACAUUAAUUGAAUUGCAAAACUAAUUGUGCACACACCGCCCGUCACCC
rnacentral:rRNA from 1 species